rnacentral:tRNA from 1 species
GGGCAGAUAGCUCAGUUGGAAGAGCGUCCCUCCGGGAAAGGGAAGGUCUUGAGUUCAACCCUCGGUCAACCUG